GGGCAGUACGAUGAAACAUGGUAUAUCACCUCAUACACUUCUUCGUAAGAGUGGUGAUCUUCUGGGACCUUGUUUAUUGAUUGCUGAGGAUAUGCAAGGUGCUAUAUUUGGUGGGCUAUUAGAAUGCCCCCUAAACCCUACAACAGAAAGAAAAUAUCAAGGGACAAACCAAACAUUUGUAUUCACAACGAUAUAUGGUGACCCAAGGCUAUUUAGAGCAACUGGU